ACAAUUAGAAAAAGAGUAGAACAAUGACUACUUAUCACUAGCAGAAACGACAGAACAGGAAACACUUAUCACGAGGAGAAGAACCGUAUGACAAGAAAAGUGAAGCCGUGGAGAAAAUAGUAGAACAGGAGACACUUAUCACAAGUUGAAUACUAGGUGACAGGAAAAACGUAUAUCGAAGGGGAUAACAGUAUGACACGAGAUACUUACAACGAGGAACACAGUAGAACAGGAGAAACUUAUCGCUGGUGUCAUAAAAUCCCACGAAAAAGAACAGGAGAAAUUCAUCACGAGAAAAAAACACGAAGAACAGAAG
rnacentral:lncRNA from 1 species